CCUACGGGAGGCAGCAGUGAGGAAUAUUGGUCAAUGGACGAGAGUCUGAACCAGCCAAGUAGCGUGAAGGAUGACUGCCCUAUGGGUUGUAAACUUCUUUUAUAUGGGAAUAAAAUGUUCCACGUGUGGGAUUUUGUAUGUACCAUAUGAAUAAGGAUCGGCUAACUCCGUGCCAGCAGACGCGGUAAUACGGAGGAUCCGAGCGUUAUCCGGAUUUAGUGGGGUUAAAGGGAGCGUAGGUGGAUUGUUAAGUCAGUUGUGAAAGUUUGCGGCUCAACCGUAAAAUUGCAGUUGAAACUGGCAGUCUUGAGUACAGUAGAGGGGGGCGGAAUUCGUGGUGUAGCGGUGAAAUGCGUAGAUAUGACGAAGAACUCCGAUUGCGAAGGCAGCUCACUGGACUGCAACUGACACUGAGGCUCGAAAGUGUGGGUAUCAAACAGGAUUAGAUACCCUUGUAGUC
rnacentral:rRNA from 1 species